GAUGAAGAACGUAGCGAAAUGCGAUAAGUAAUGCGAAUUGCAGAAUUCAGUGAAUCAUCGAAUGUUUGAACGCACAUUGCGUCCGCCAGUAUUCUGGCGGGCAUGCCUGUCUGAGCGUCAUUUCAACCCCUCGCAGCCGGUUCGCGUUCGCGCGCCCGGGGGCGGUGUUGGAGAUCGGCCGCCCCUCGCGGGUGGCCGGCUCCCAAAUCCAGUGGCGACCGCGCCGUAGCCUCCUCUGCGUAGUAGUAACUCACCUCGCGAGUCGGAGAGCGGCGCGGAUCCUGCCGUAAAACCCCCAACUUCACAAGGUUGACCUCAGAUCAGGUAGGAAUACCCGCUGAACUUAAGCAUAUCAUAAGCGGAGGA
rnacentral:misc_RNA from 1 species